GAUCAUUACCGAGUGCGGGUCCUUUGGGCCCAACCUCCCAUCCGUGUCUAUUAUACCCUGUUGCUUCGGCGGGCCCGCCGCUUGUCGGCCGCCGGGGGGGCGCCUUUGCCCCCCGGGCCCGUGCCCGCCGGAGACCCCAACACGAACACUGUCUGAAAGCGUGCAGUCUGAGUUGAUUGAAUGCAAUCAGUUAAAACUUUCAACAAUGGAUCUCUUGGUUCCGGCAUCGAUGAAGAACGCAGCGAAAUGCGAUAACUAAUGUGAAUUGCAGAAUUCAGUGAAUCAUCGAGUCUUUGAACGCACAUUGCGCCCCCUGGUAUUCCGGGGGGCAUGCCUGUCCGAGCGUCAUUGCUGCCCUCAAGCCCGGCUUGUGUGUUGGGUCGCCGUCCCCCUCUCCGGGGGGACGGGCCCGAAAGGCAGCGGCGGCACCGCGUCCGAUCCUCGAGCGUAUGGGGCUUUGUCACAUGCUCUGUAGGAUUGGCCGGCGCCUGCCGACGUUUUCCAACCAUUUUUUCCAGGUGACCUCGGAUCAGGUAGGGAUACCCGCUGAACUUAAGCAUAUCAAUAAGCGGAGGA
rnacentral:misc_RNA from 1 species